AGUAAAAAGUCGUAACAAG
rnacentral:rRNA from 1 species